UACGUAGGGGGCAAGCGUUGUCCGGAAUUAUUGGGCGUAAAGAGCGCGUAGGCGGUCCGAUAAGUCGGCUGUGAAAGUCCAGGGCUCAACCCUGGAAAGCCGGCCGAUACUGUCGGACUAGAGUCCGGAAGAGGCAAGUGGAAUUCCCGGUGUAGCGGUGAAAUGCGCAGAUAUCGGGAGGAACAUCAGUGGCGAAGGCGACCUUCUGGGCCGCAACUGACGCUGAGGCACGAAAGCCUGGGGAGCGAACGGG
rnacentral:rRNA from 1 species